rnacentral:rRNA from 1 species
CCCUUAGAUGUUCUGGGCCGCACACGCGCUACACUGAAGGAGGCAGCGUGUACUCCUGGAUCGAAAGAUUUGGGUAACCCGCGAAUCUCCUUCGUGCUAGGGAUUGAGGUUUGCAAUUAUCCUUCAUGAACGAGGAAUUCCCAGUAAGUGCAAGUCAUAAGCUUGCGCUGACUACGUCCCUGCCCUUUGUACACACCACCCGUCGCUACUACCGAUUGAAUGAUUUAGUGAGGACUUCGGACUGGGACCGAUGCGGCUUUCGGGCUGCGUCGGUAUUCUGGAAAGAUGUCCAAACUGUAUCAUUUAGAGGAAGUAAAAGUCGUAACA